rnacentral:lncRNA from 1 species
CAUACCAAAAUGAGGAAACUAGAAAGAGUGGUCAGCACCUUCUUCAAGUAACCGACGCCAAGUGCGCGGGUCAGCUUCAGCUUCCCUUUCAACCUCCCGGCAGUGAUUGGGGAGGGAUCGUCUGGAUGGUCGGCGAUGACCCUCUUGCACUCGACCUCGUUGUCCACCGAGUGGAUCUCUGUGAGCUGGACGGCUUGCAGGUGACCGUUCUGGGUGGUGGCCAGGACGGCUCUACUGUCCCCCAGAUUCAGGAUGUACAGGUCUAGCCCGUGGAGGAGCAUGACCAGGACGGAGGACCCGAUGGAGACCAGGUCGGGGCGGUUCUCCAUCUCCUGCUCAACCAUGUACAUGAAAUCCUUCUCGGCCUGAGCGAGGGCAUAAGCGAGGGAUCUGAGCACGCCGUCACGGUAAGAUUCAGGAGAAAUGCCCCCAUCGACGUCGAUGGAGAACAGCUUCAAUCU